UGAGUUAGUUAUUAAAGCUUUAUGCGCUGAGGGAUUGGGAUAUACUCUAUUAGUUGUUGGUGAGGUAAAAGCUCACCAAGGCUAUGAUAGAUAGCUGGUCUUAGAGGAUGAACAGCCACAAUGGGAUUGAGAUACGGCCCAUAUUCCUACGGGAAGCAGCAGUAGGGAAUCUUCCACAAUGGGCGAAAGCCUGAUGGAGCAAUACCAUGUGAACGAUGAAGGUCUUUUUGAUUGUAAAGUUCUUUUAUGAGGGAUAACAACUGAUAGUACCUCAUGAAUA
rnacentral:rRNA from 1 species